rnacentral:rRNA from 1 species
AUGGGGGCUCUGCCUCGGGGUCUACUGCUCCUCGGCGUUUGCGCCGUCCUGGUGGCGGCCGUGCUCGCCGAUGCAUCACCUGCGUCGUCGAUGGUCGUCGGCUUGGCCAAGUGCGCCGACUGCACCAGGAAGAACAUGAAGGCUGAGGCUGCUUUCGCGGGCCUUCAGGUGGCUGUGAAGUGCAAGAACGCCGACGGCGAGUACGAGACCAAGGCCGUCGGCGCGGUGGACAAGUCCGGCGCGUUCGGCGUGCCCCUCGGCGCCGACCUCCUCCGCGAGGACGGCGAGCUGAAGCAGGACUGCUUCGCGCAGCUCCACAGCGCGCCCGACCACCCAUGCCCCGGGCAGGAGCCGUCCAUGAUCGUCCGGCAAUCCGCCGACGGCGCCGAGAAGAAGGGCUUCGUCGCCGUCCCCGGCGAGGUGCACUACUCCUCCCAGGAGUGCGCGUCGGCGUUCCUCUGCCACUUCUUCCACAAGAAGCACCUCUUCCACAAGAAGCCCGCCUUGGUCGUCCCUCACCUCAAGAAGAAGGCCAUCGUGAUCCCGCACAUCCACAAGAAGCCCAUCGUGAUCCCGCACAUCCACAAGAAGCCCAUCGUGAUCCCGCACUUCCACAAGAAGCCAGCGCCGGUGCCGGAGUACAAGCCGCCAACACCCACCCCCGUGUACACGCACCCGACGCCCGUGCCGGAGCACAAGCCGCCGACGCCGGUGUACACGCACCCGACACCGAUCUACCACCCUCCUGCUGACCAGAAGAUGGUGCAAGACCCGGAGACGGACCCUCAGCUCUUCAAGAAGCUCCUGCCGUUCAUCAAGAAGAACCCAUUCUUCAAGAAGUUCCCCCCUGCCAAGGAGGAUACCAAGCCAUAG